UAGCUUGGAGUUUCUUCUUCUC
rnacentral:siRNA from 1 species